rnacentral:rRNA from 1 species
AUUGAACGCUGGCGGCAGGCUUAACACAUGCAAGUCGAGCGGAGAUGAGGUGCUUGCACCUUAUCUUAGCGGCGGACGGGUGAGUAAUGCUUAGGAAUCUGCCUAUUAGUGGGGGACAACAUUUCGAAAGGAAUGCUAAUACCGCAUACGUCCUACGGGAGAAAGCAGGGGGUCUUCGGACCUUGCGCUAAUAGAUGAGCCUAAGUCGGAUUAGCUAGUUGGUGGGGUAAAGGCCUACCAAGGCGACGAUCUGUAGCGGGUCUGAGAGGAUGAUCCGCCACACUGGGACGAAGACACGGCCCAGACUCCGACGGGAGGCAGCAGUGGGGAAUAUUGGACAAUGGGCGGAAGCCUGAUCCAGCCAUGCCGCGUGUGUGAAGAAGGCCUUAUGGUUGUAAAGCACUUUAAGCGAGGAGGAGGCUACUUUAGUUAAUACCUAGAGAUAGUGGACGUUACUCGCAGAAUAAGCACCGGCUAACUCUGUGCCAGCCGCCGCGGUAAUAC